UACGAAGGGUGCAAGCGUUACUCGGAAUUACUGGGCGUAAAGCGCGCGCAGGCGGCCCUUUAAGUCUACCCGUGAAAUGCCGGAGCUCAACUCCGUGCACGCCGGGGGAUACUGGAGGGCUGGAGACGAGUAGAGGCAAGCGGAAUUCCGGGUGUAGCGGUGGAAUGCGUAGAGAUCCGGAAGAACACCGGAGGCGAAGGCGGCUUGCUGGGCUUGGUCUGACGCUGAGGCGCGAAAGCGUGGGGAGCGAACAGG
rnacentral:rRNA from 1 species